GAUGAACGCUGGCGGCGUGCCUACUACAUGAAAGUCGAGCGAACGGCCGAGAAGCUUGCUUCUCUGAUGUUAGCGGCGGACGGGUGAGUAACACGUGGAUAACCUAUCUUUAAGAGUGGGAUAACUUCGGGAAACCGUAGCUAUUACCGGACAUUAUUCUGACCCGCAUGGUUCAAAAGUGAAAGACGGUCUUGCUGUCACUUAUACAUGGAUCCGCGCUGCAUUAGCUAGUUGGUAAGGUAACGGCUUACCAAGGCAACGAUGCAUAGCCGACCUGAGAGGGUGAUCGGCCACACUGGAACUGAGACACGGUCCAGACUCCUACGGGAGGCAGCAGUAGGGAAUCUUCCGCAAAGGGCGAAAGCCUGACGGAGCAACGCCGCGUGAGUGAAGAAGGUCUUCGGAUCGUAAAACUCUGUUAUUAGGGAAGAACAUAUGUGUAAGUAACUGUGCACAUCUUGACGGUACCUAAUCAGAAAGCCACGGCUAACUACGUG
rnacentral:rRNA from 1 species